rnacentral:lncRNA from 1 species
ACUAUAUAUAUAUAUAUAUAUAUAUAUAUAUAUAUAUAGAGAGAGAGAGAGAGAGAGAGAGAGAGAGAGAGAGAGAGAGAGAGAGAGAGCGCUAGGCUACUAUACUAUCGGUAGCACGGAGCGCUCCGUGCUACCAAGUUGUUUUCGAUGAUGCGGCUUCCAAAUCGACGAUCGGCUCCGUUAGAGUUGAUCUACACUAUUGAAAGUAUUUAUAAACUAAAUUUCAUAAUUUUUUGAUAUCAUUUACCUAUCAAACAAGUAGUCUAAAAUUGAACGGCUGAAAAUAAAAAUCUCAUAAAAAAUGAUGACAAAAGAUUUAAAUUCAAGAUCAGAUAUACUGAUCUUACUCUAAAUAGUGAAAAAAAUUUUCUAUAAAAUUUUCAUCGCAUUUGAAUUGUUUUACACCGUUAAACUCACAAACACACCACAUUGGCCAUUAAAAUUAUCAAUUUUGAGAUCUUUUGAUCACUAGUCAAAUGAUGUCGAAAAAAUUUAAAAUUUAGUUUCCAAAUACUUUCAAUAGUGUAGAUCAAGUCUAACAGAGCCGAUCGUCGAUUUGGAAGCCGCAUCAUCGAAAACAACUCGGUAGCACGGAGCGCUCCGUGCUACCGAUAGCAUAGUAGCCGGACUCUAUAGAGCUAGGCUACUAUACUAUCGGUAGCACGGAGAGCUAUAAUAUUAUUGAUAGAAAAAGAUUCUUUUUAUUAUUAAAUUUUUAGCUUUUGGAUUAAUUCUUUUUAUCAUUUCUAACCAUUGGAUUAAAUAUUAUAAUCCAAUGGGGACUACUCAACUCUAGAGGGACCACUCAAUCCUAAAAUUAAAAACUUAAUAGAAAAAAAAGCCUUUUGCUAUCUAUAACAGAAGAUCCCCCGUCCACAUUAAAUACCUGCAUACAACGUUGUUGGCCAGGGACAUGAGCUUGAGGCUAAUGUUGACCGGCAUUUGCUGAGCCGCCACACCAGCGAUGUCCUUCAAAAACUCUCACGACCACGAGGUCUAUCUGUAUUGAGUAUGAAUGAUUUAUUAAAACAUUAAUAUUAUUUCUAUCUACUUAGAACUUUUAGAACCAGCUUGGUUCGAAUUAUAAGCGGGGAUAACGAAAAUUGUCUCUACUAUCCGUCAAACGGAAUGAUCUUUUACCGGGAUAUUUUAUCUCGGUCAAGUCUUGCUAUUUUCGGUUAUUUCGAAAUAGCUUAAAAUUUACUAUUCCAUCGCUUUAGUAGAAUAGUGCUAUUCUAAUAUUUCAUUUCAAACUUAAUUAAAAUUAUAAAUUGAAUUAAAAAUAAAUUAUAUAAAUAAAAUAUGUUAUAUAUUAUAAUACAUUAUUUUUAUUAUAAAAUUAUUAAUUGUAUUAUAUUAAUACAUAUUAUUUAUAUUUAAAUAUUAUAAUAAAUUUUAUAAUAAAUUAUUUUUUAAAAUUUAAGUUUAAGUGGAAUUUUAAAACCGUGUAGAUCUCUCUAGCAUCUCAAGAUUUUGGAUAAUAAUGAUUGUUUGGGAAC